AUGUCUAUCAAGAAUAUCAAUGACAUAUAUGCAGAACCGUCCGUCGAUCCAAAUGUUUCGGGAAAAACUUCAUCGUAGAAUCAUUGUUCUUGGACUUGUCAUUAUUAUCGCAUAUGUUGCAUAUAGUUGAUCAUAUGUAAUUGAGUUAGAGAUUAUAUGAUGAUGUAAUGUGUACUAUUUAUUGUUAAAGAAAAGCAAAUAUAUAUAUAUAAUCGGUUUAGUUUUGAAGCUGCUCCACUGUACGAUUUAUUAUAAAAGUAAGGACUUUUUUAAGAAAAUGGUUUACGUGGCAGCAUCUAGUUCAACUUUACAACUUUUAAAUAUCUUUUUUAAGAAUAUAUAUAUUUUUAUACCAAAAGCUUGUGAAGGCAGUGGUAUGAGAUACAGCUAUCAAAAAUAUCAUCGUUAAACACACU
rnacentral:lncRNA from 1 species